rnacentral:lncRNA from 1 species
ACACAACAUCAACUUCAUGGAUUAGCAAAAACGACACAACAUAUCAUACAACACCAACAUAAUAUAUAUUUAAUAUAUAAUCUCAUGACUUCACCAUAACAUUAAUACUCAACAACACAACAUAACAUAUCAUCAUGAUUUAGCAACAAUAACAUAACACAUAACAAGAAUCAUAUCUCAAUCAUCAAUUCCACAACAUAUCAAGAAUUCACAAACCCUAAUUCCCAAUUUUCAUGAUAGUUUCCCCCCAAAGCUACAACUAA